UUCAAUUGGCUCCUCCCCGUCUUUCGGCAUAUUAUUUUUCAAUUCGCAGACCACAGCGGCGCAGAGGGACAAACAGAGGACAAGGUGGGUGUGGGUGGAGAUGCAAGAUGAGGUACGGAGCUGAGGGGGGGAAAACCCUGCAGCCACGAGAGAAGUGGCUGGAGCCAGUGCACAAGCUACUCACCUGCAGGAAUGCCGUAAUCUUUUCCGUGAUGGCUCUAUCGCCUCUUUAGAGGUGUAAACAUGAGAUCCGCAUGAGUUGGACGUGAGCCAGGAUGAUGACGAUGCUUCAGCUGGUGAAAGCACACAUGCAGGUUUUGAGCUGUUGAGGAAGUGCCAUCCUUCCAUAACUGAAAAGGAGGUGAAUAGGGUUGAGUCUGGCCCAGCACGGGUGCAUGUUAAGCUGCCCAGGUCUGAUGGAUCUGUGCCUGCUGAGCCCUAUUUUGCACAAGUGCAGCUGGCAGCCUGGCAGGCUGGGUGGAGUAAAGAGGAUUCAGCAGGUCAGCUGGCGCUAGCACUAGAAGUGCUGCUUGAUCUCACAGAGCAGAGCAGAGAGACCAAGCUACUCUUACAGGGCCACUUGAACAGUGGUUCGGGGCACGGCAGACAGGGGAGCAAAGACGGGAGCAACUGGCCAGCAGACGGAGUUAAAAAGGGGAGAGUCUGGGUGCUAUGUCCGCCAUUGUGCAGUUCUAUGUGCAGCGAGGAUACUCACAGUGCUCCGCAGCUGCACAGGAGGAGCUGGAUCUCCACGCAUUCCUGCAAGCCCUGCAAGACAGCAUGUUCGAUUAUCUGGCCCCGAAACCCUGACUCAAGUACUGGCAGAGGCAAAGAAGGUGGGGAAGGUGCUCUAUUUGAUGGGACCCAUGUUACGGUUGUUGGGAGGUGGGGCAUAUGGCCCGUGAUUGUCCCAUCCCUGCACCCUUGCCCCGAAAGUCUGCGGUUCAGGAAAACUAGGAGUGAGCGGUCGGGUGGAGCGAUGGCCUCUCCAACCACAGUCUACACCCCUCCAUGGGAAAUGUUCAUUGGUAGAUCACAAACAGGGUUUGUAAAUUUACUGUGUUCUAAACGGGCAUGCCAGCAGAGCCCUCAUUGAUACGGUGUCCACUAUUUCCAUUGUCCGUCCGGGGACCCUGCCUGGAACAGAAGGGUCAACACCGA
ensembl:lncRNA